rnacentral:snoRNA from 1 species
AAGCAGACAGUAUCCCCUCCUGCUCGGGCUCAUGGGACUUGAGAAGGUGUGGCCCCGCAGGCGCACGGGGGAGUUGUGUCCAGCCUCGGUGUUCUGAGGGUGACUUUGGACUUGCCGGAGAGCA